rnacentral:lncRNA from 1 species
UGACCCUGGAUAUCUAGAGUAGUAAGACCUACCUUAAAACACAGUGUUUUUCAAGCUUAAACCAUAUUGCUACUGGCCAAGUAGUAUUGCCACUGAGAUCUGUCUGCACUCUCUUAACUUCCUUGGUCCUUGUGAUCUCCAUUGUAAGAAUGCAGACGAAGUAGAGGAUAUAGUGUAAAUUACAGACUAAUAAAAUGUAGGUAUUUUAUUACAGACUAAUAAAAAAAAAUUAGUGCAGAGCCAAACAGUCUUAAGGGCUGAGAGUCACAGUGGGCAAAGAAGCUAUUAUCCCUGUACUUUAGGUAGGUAAGUUUUCAAGGGGCAGACAGUUUUUCUGAGGGUCAUUGAGAAACCCUCUUGGAUUGACGCUGGAGGGGACGAUGGAUGUCCUUGUUCUUCAUCAGGGAGCCUUCUUCUGGGUAGCAAUCUUGAAAGGUCUCCUGCAGGCGAGCCCAACCCUUUGAUAUUGCAGUACAAUUAAUCAUGUACAAAGUUCACGCUUGGGAACUGUGCAGUUGAGUUACAAACCAAAAACCUAAAAGGCAAAACAAACAAAAACCCUCAGUACUUUAAGAAUAUUUGUGAUUUUUUUUUGUGCUGAUCUGCUUUCGUAGCUAUCCUUGGCAGCCAAAGAUGGAGUUACCUGGGGCUUCUGGCACUGGGAUUGGUAUUCAGUAAAUGACCAGGCAGUCCAGUAUAUCAUGUCUCUUGCCAGGGCCAAAGAUAGGACUCAGGUCCCAGUUCUCUGCCCAGUUACCAAAUCCUUCUUUUUCUCUUUGGCUUUACGACCUGUUGACUGAGAAAUGGAUCUGAAUGUCCUGUCAUCCUGCUAAGAUCCAACUGGCUCUCAAACAGCCCGGCUAACUCAGCGUCUACCCUGGAGGUGAUUGAGCAUCCGUAACCUGGCAGUCAUAGAUGCUCAGUGGGAUGGAGGAUUCCUGAGCCCAUCAGAAGAAGAGUGUUCAAACUCAUGCCUGUAAUUCCAGCCUACAAGAAGCCGAGGCAGUUGAAUUGCCAUGAGUUAGAAUCUUGUCUCAUUUAGAAGAAUAAUAUUAAAUAUGAAUAAACACUGAAUUCC